AAUUAAAGCUUCUGUUUCUGUUCUGGUGGGGGCAGAAGAGGACGCUUCCUUACACAAGUUGCAUCUCACUCACAGAGGUUUAACAUGAAGACUGUCCUGCUUGUCACUGCUCUUCUCCUGAUGAAUUUGAUGACUGAAACCUUUGCUUCAACGCAAAAACCCACGGGGUCAGAUCACUUGAAGAACCCCCAGCCCAAAACAGACCUGGGCACACCCUGCUGCGUCCCAGCUUCUCUUUUGCUGGUGUUUGCCUUGGCAGCAAUUUACCUCCUCCAAGCAAAAUAAGCCCCCACACUUCACUCCCCAGAGAGAUGCCAACGCUGCCUUCUGCCUACCACCAUCUCAGCCUCUCCUGCCGGGCACCCCGCUGGAGCCUGCCAAUCCGCGUAACCCAGCCAGCAUAACCGCUCCAGUUCAAGUCUUCCCGCAACACACCCACUGUGCACUUCUCUUUGCAGCCAUCGGCUUCUUUCCUUGUUUCCCAUCAGAGCCAUUCGUUCCACCACCUGCGAUGGAAUCCCGGCAGCAGAGUCCAGCUUCGCAUGGAGAUUCCCAUUAGGAUCACAUUGGAGAGGCAGAUGCAUGUCUCACCACAACACCUGAGGAGCCUUGCCAUUGAUUGACCAGCUCCUGUGCAGAAUGGGCCUCCCCAAGGAAAAGAGACAGAGAUUGCAGCAAGGGUGUGUUUUGUUGCAUGCGUGUGUAUGUAUUGCACUAAUCUGAAGUUCCCCAGGCCUAGCCCUUGGAACGCAGAUCCCAAUUCCAUGAAAACAUGUUCUGAUGCUUUGAGAAAUUAAUGUGAAUAUAAAUGAUUUGGGGUCUUUCUGAUCCCUGCAGAGUGGCAGCCAGCUCAACCUAAUAAAAUGAAAGACAAGCUUCCUUA